rnacentral:rRNA from 1 species
AACGAACGCUGGCGGCAUGCCUAACACAUGCAAGUCGAACGAGACCUUCGGGUCUAGUGGCGCACGGGUGCGUAACGCGUGGGAACCUGCCCUUAGGUUCGGAAUAACUCCCCGAAAGGGGUGCUAAUACCGGAUAAUGUCUUCGGACCAAAGAUUUAUCGCCUUUGGAUGGGCCCGCGUUGGAUUAGCUAGUUGGUAGGGUAAAAGCCUACCAAGGCGACGAUCCAUAGCUGGUCUGAGAGGAUGAUUAGCCACACUGGGACUGAGACACGGCCCAGACUCCUACGGGAGGCAGCAGUGGGGAAUAUUGGAAAAUGGGCGAAAGCCUGAUCCAGCAAGGCCGCGUGAGUGAUGAAGGCCUUAGGGUUGUAAAGCUCUUUUACCCGGGAUGAUAAUGACAGUACCGGGAGAAUAAGCACCGGCUAACUCCGUG